UACGUAGGGUGCGAGCGUUGUCCGGAAUUAUUGGGCGUAAAGAGCUUGUAGGCGGUUUGUCGCGUCUGCUGUGAAAUCUCAAGGCUCAACCUUGAGCUUGCAGUGGGUACGGGCAGACUAGAGUGUGGUAGGGGAGACUGGAAUUCCUGGUGUAGCGGUGAAAUGCGCAGAUAUCGGGAAGAACACCCGUGGCGAAGGCGGUUCUCUGGGACGGUACUGACGCUGAGACGCGAAAGCGUGGGGAGCAAACAGG
rnacentral:rRNA from 1 species